UUACGGCAAUAUCACAUUGAAACACUGGUUUUUGUACGCCCAUCGAAGUUAAGUAACGUUGAGCUUGGUCAAUACUUAGAUGGGUGAUCGCCUGGGAACACCAGGUGCUGUAAG